UCGCCUGCUGUGCCCGCCCCCGAGCCGGAGGCCAAGAAUUCUGCGCUGAACGAAUGAAUGAAUGAGCGCUCAUUCAACACCGCUUGGCACUGGCUUAUAAAUGAAAUAGUUCACUUAGGCCGGGAACUGUUUUCUCCAUCAUCCUCCACCUUCAGAUGUCUGUCCUUUUCCUGAGAUGCACAUUCAUGGGUUCACGAAGACUUCGGGAACCGACCCCGUCUUAAUUUGGGGUCCCUUGAAAGCAGAGCGUGAGCUGAGUGACCCCAGGAGGCAGGGAAGCAGAGGUCCGAGGAAGAACCACCUGGGUAUCCUGCCCUGCCGUAGGCAAAGGAGGGACUUAUUCAACCAGGAACUCUGGAAGCGAACAGAAUGCCUCCCAGAAUUGUCACCCCGAAGACGGGAGCUUCUUGCACGGCAUCCUUCUUGUGUGGCAUCUCCUGGUGAGGCCUGGCCCACCCCCAGAAAGGACGACAGAAUGAACGAGAGGGAUAAGGAUGCCAUUAUAUCAACCUCGGGCUACCUUUUCCAAAUCACGAAUUAGGGGGGAAAAUAACGCUGGUGAUGGUAAAGACGUGAGUGGACAUGGAAGACAAUUUUUCUUUUCUGAACUUCCUUCAAAAUGACAGGCUCCUUAAAGCAAAAAUACCAGUGCAUUCUGGGAUUCACAAUACAUAAAAGUGAAAUAAAUGACCACAAUAAUACAGAAGACA